rnacentral:rRNA from 1 species
UUAAUUGGGACUCUAGCGAGACUGCCAGUGAUAAACUGGAGGAAGGUGGGGAUGACGUCAAAUCAUCAUGCCCCUUAUGACCUGGGCUACAAACGUGAUACAAUGGCUGAAACAAAGGGCAGCGAAGGAGCGAUCUGGAGCGAAACCCAAAAAGCAGUCUCAGUUCGGAUUGAAGUCUGCAACUCGACUUCAUGAAGUCGGAAUCGCUAGUAAUCGCGGAUCAGGACGCCGCGGUGAAUACGGUUCUCGGGUUU